CGGCAGCCGCAUAGCCCGGCCCUCAACCCGAGCGGCCGGCGACGGAUGAGGGGAAGUGGGGAAGAGAGGAGGGGACCCGGGUGCCCGGGGCAGGGCUGGGGAUCGCUAGGCCCCGUAGCAUCAUGGGGCUUGUAGUCCGCCUCCGGAAACCCAAGGUUUCCAGAGAGGGUCUCGCACUGCUCCCUGAUUUCCUGAGAGGGUUAACAAGGAGCCGGGCCUGGCGGAAAUGGAGGCAGAUUCCUGCUGCCAGGUUUCUUCCUGUGGUCUUCUCCCCUGCCUCCUCCACACCCUGCGGUGCCAGGCCCUGGCGAGUAGGGAUGAGGGAGGAGCGGACCGCCUCGCCCUUUUCUUCUGCCAGGGAGGAGCCGGCUGGUGUCUAGGCAGCCUAGGACCGCCGCCCACCUCCACCGCCAGGGGUCAGCAGAGUGUCGCGACUACAGCCAGAGUUGAGACGGGGGCUGGAAUCAAGGAGGGGCUUCCUGGAGAUGGGGGGGGUGGGCGAGAGGGGUUUGCUUGUACCUUUCGUUAUUAAAUCCUGCUUAGAACCGUGUGUGCGAUUCCACU
rnacentral:lncRNA from 1 species